GCCCUGAUAGCUCAGUUGGUACGAGCGUGCGACUGAAGGUCCCCCAUGGGAUUUCGCAAGGUCACCUGUUCGACCCAGGUUCAGGGCA